AUACCGUGGUGCGGGCAUAUAACUAGCAUCCCUUUGAAGCGCUCUCAUGUUUCAUGUAGUGUCUCAAUUGAUCUCUGUUUAAAACUUAAAAUUUCAUCAAUUUGUUG
rfam:Nicotiana sylvestris Nsyl_contig137336, whole genome shotgun sequence.